AACGUACGCUGGCGGCGCGCCUAAUACAUGCAAGUCGAGCGAGAAGGUGUAGCAAUACACUUGUAAAGCGGCGAACGGGUGAGGAAUGCAUGGGUAACCUACCCUCGAGUGGGGAAUAACUAGCCGAAAGGUUAGCUAAUACCGCAUACGUUUCCGGAACUUCGGUUUCGGAAAGAAAGCAAUACCGUGGGUACUGCGCUCCUGGAUGGGCUCAUGUCCUAUCAGCUUGUUGGUGAGGUAACGGCUCACCAAGGCUUCGACGGGUAGCUGGUCUGAGAGGACGAUCAGCCACACUGGCACUGCGACACGGGCCAGACUCCUACGGGAGCAGCAGUAAGGAAUAUUGCGCAAUGGACGAAAGUCUGACGCAGCGACGCCGCGUGGGGGAUGAAGGUCUUCGGAUUGUAAACCCCUUUCGGGAGGGAAGAUGGAGUGGGUAACCACUUGGACGGUACCUCCAGAAGCAGCCACGGCUAACUUCGUGCCAGCAGCCGCGGUAAU
rnacentral:rRNA from 1 species